CGUCCGGGCCUGCGCGACGCAGUUGACGCAGCGGACGUUGGUGAAUCCACGACUUGGUGCAGCCGGGUUUGGUACCGAGCGGAGAGGAGAUGCACACGGCACUCGAGUGUGAGUUGUGCUGUCCUGGCUGUCCGGGUGUCAUGAGCCAGUUCAGGAUGUUUACCUUUCGUGAUCAUUUUGACUUGAGGAAGAGCCAGAAGUUGCACGGUCCCACAUGCAUGGAGAAGCUGGGAGGCACACUCCGGUAAGCAGCGCCCAGUUGAAGACAUCGAAGAUGAACAACAAACCAGAGUACUCCCACGAUUCCUCCCAGUCACUCCCCUGCCAAAGUAUAACCGCUACCCGCACUAUUUAGUCCUAAUUUUCAUGUUAAAUAUAAGAGAACGUUAGUGAGCUCUCCUUUUUUUGUUGUUGUAUCCAAAGCAAAACUUCACUUCAAAAAUAGUAUAAUCUGCAUAGUAGUUAAAUUGCCAUAUUGUAAAUUCACCCUAACCUUCAUGAAGACACUAUGCAGUAUAGCACACUGAAACUUAUAGCAGUGAUCAGACUCUGGAAGUUAACAGCAAAGCACGAAAGUAAUUUAUGGUGACAACUGCUAGUUAUUUACUAGAAUUCAUUUUUCCAUUUCUUGUCCAGUAAGACUAUACAUUGAUGUCUACAGCAUGUUGUAGAAGUCUUGAGGGGGAGAUCUCAGUGUAUGUUUGCCAAAUUGAAAAAGUAUUCUCAAUUAUAAAAAUAACAUUUUGAAUUCACAAAACCCAGAAAGCUCCAAAACAAGUGACAUACUGGAGUAUUUUGGCUAAGGCAAAACUGACUCUGUCAAGGUUGAUGGGAUAUGGUCUUAGGAAAGGUUUUUUGAGACAGUGUCUUGCUAUGUAGUCCAGGCUGGCUUUGAACGCACUAUGUGUACGCCAGGCUGGCCUCGAACUUGAGACAUACUUCCUCCUUAAACCUCCAGAAUGCUGGAAUUGUAGGUGUGUGCCAGCAUGCCUGCCUGGUUUCCCCUGUAUCUGUCUCCACACUAAAGAUGCCCUUUGUGCUAUAGGGUACAAAAGGUAUCUCCAGUUCCAUGAACUUGGGAAGUUAGAGAAAUUGUAGGUGCGACUUUAUCUCCCAGCCUUGUGCCUGAGUGAGGCUCCCUGGUGAGCACUGGGCAGGGGACAUGACGAGAAGGAUACAUGCACUUCCACUUCCCUUGAUGCUGAAGAGGAAAUUUCUGAACCUGAACUUCCCUCCUUUCUCUUUUCCCAUUGGCUGAACCAACAUCCAUCCCUGUAAAGAUUCAUGGCUCAGAAUGACUGCAGCCGAGCUGCCCUUAGAAACCUGAAGCAGUCAUCUUUGGCUGUUUCUGAGGGAAAAAGAGCUUGCUUUGGGGGAUGGGAUGCUGGGGACUGAGGACCUUUGUAUCGAGGUAUAUCUCAGCCCUUUUUAUUUUUUACUUUGAGACACGGUCUAAGUUGACCAGGCCAUGCUUGAACCUGCUGUCCUCCUGAUUCAGCUCCUGAGUAGCUGGGUUACAGGCUUAUGCCACCACACUGAGCAAAAUUUGCUUAUCUCUUAAACUGUUACAUGUUGGGAAAUGUCUCUACGAUAGCUGGUUAGCCUGUGCUAACAGAAGUGUACUUAAUCCCAGAAGUCGUUUAUUCUAUUUGAGGUGGGGUCUCACUGUGUCACACAGGCUGGUGUUUGAGCUUGUGAGCUGACAUGUUCCCUUCACGUCCACCUGCCAAAUAGUGGAGGUUGCAAGCAUGCGUCCCUUUGGGCACACAUCUGUUGUAGUCAUUCUGAAAUUGCAGUUUAGGAAUGAUUACUUGAUAAAAACCAGCCCAGGUUUAGGAUUGCUCCUGGGAUAGUGCUUGGGUCCUGGCAUUCAUUCCUCUGAUGUUGUCUUGAAUGAAAGGAUUAGGAGAUCAAGAUGUUUACAGUCUUCACAAUAAAAUACCUUACACAGAUUAGGUACCAUGUACUUUAGAAACAGUGACCAAUGACAGUUUGAAUGUCAAGUAUAGCACCCCCAGUUUCUGUUUCCUUCAGUCCUUCCCUUGAUGUUGUGAGCAUGUGAUGUGCCUGCCCGCACCACUGGCACCUGACUGGGUGCUCGCUAUCUGCAGAGGGGAUGCGCACCAAGCAACCUCGUGACACUGAUGUACACAGGGAGGGAGCCACGCUGAGAACAUCGCCCUCUGGUGGCCUGCUCUGGAGCCAACAAGUGUGCACCCUCUUGUGUACUAGUGAGUUGGCCUUUCACCUCAGUAUUGUACAAGUAAAAUUGAUGUAUUUUAUUUUAUUUUAUUUUACUUUUUAAGAGUAGGAAAAAUUUAUUGAGCGAAAGAAAGCUAAGAGAGACAGAAGGGGGACCAGAAAGUGGGUUGCCUGCUCACCCCACAUUUCAAAGACGUUUUAUACAGCAGAGCCACGUGGUGAGGUGGUUACAAAGUGGGACAAAACUAUAAGACCCAAUGGAAAUUUAUGAAGCGCGGCAAAACCAUGACCAACCAAUAAGAUUACAAGUACAGUCACCCAGGUGAUAUUGAUUAAAUGGGGGUCAAAUGGGGGAGCAAGUCACAGCAAGCCUACAAGGAUUUUCAGGAAGGGUGGGGGUCGAGGAUAUUUCCUGGAGAGGCUGGGGUAAGACCUUGCCCCCCCCAUCCAGGUGAUUCAUACCUAUUUAGAAUAUCAAUCACUGCUAUUUAUCCCCAGGGGAAGCACAAGGGUUUGUAGUUUUUCCUCCUUUUACAAUUCUGGCCCUCAGUGAAUGUGUCUUGAUUGUCCUCCGUGUGUGGGCUCCUUGACUGUCCUCCAUGUUGGCUCCUCCUGGGCUGGCCCUGUUUAACUACCUACAAGAUAUCUAAUUAAAUUACCUAUCUGCAAUAUUUCCCCCUCUGAAGAAGUACCCCUAACUGCCGUGAGGGGGCAAAGGGUGAGGACAGGUCUGGCUACUUCCAGAUGAAGAGGGUCAUAGUUGUGAUCAGCAGUUAGUUACUCUACAGAGUCUAUCUAAAGGCCCUGGACAGUGCCAGGCAUUGUCAUCUUGGUAGACGUAUAGCUUUGAGUCUGAAGGAGACAAAGCCAAAGAAACAGUUAAUACAUGGGCCAAAUUAUAAGGUCAGCAGGAUUGCAAUGAAUAUAGCCAACAAGGGUUUCCACUGGG
ensembl:lncRNA